rnacentral:tRNA from 1 species
CGGGGCGUAGCGCAGUCUGGUAGCGCACUUCGUUCGGGACGAAGGGGUCGGAGGUUCAAAUCCUCUCGCCCCGACCA